GGUGGCUGUGCUUGAAAAACGUGGGGAGAAGAAGGCGGGCGAAUUCAGGGGGAUUCCAGACCACAAAACUCUUCUUCGAAGAGGUCCAGGAGACGAUCUCAUCGGUGGCUGAGUCGUCAACCAUAUCGUAGGUCUUGAUGAGAAACGGCGCCGGACCGGCGCCGCCAGCAGCUGCUUCCAUUAGGUGAGAAGAACGGUGGAUCAGGAUCUGAAUCGAC
rnacentral:misc_RNA from 1 species